rnacentral:rRNA from 1 species
CAGUCGCCGCGGUAAUACGGAGGGUGCAAGCGUUAAUCGGAAUUACUGGGCGUAAAGCGCACGCAGGCGGUCUGUCAAGUCAGAUGUGAAAUCCCCGGGCUUAACCUGGGAACUGCAUUUGAAACUGGCAGGCUAGAGUCUUGUAGAGGGGGGUAGAAUUCCAGGUGUAGCGGUGAAAUGCGUAGAGAUCUGGAGGAAUACCGGUGGCGAAGGCGGCCCCCUGGACAAAGACUGACGCUCAGGUGCGAAAGCGUGGGGAGCAAACAGGAUUAGAUACCCGUGUAGUCCCUGUCUCUUAUAA